rnacentral:tRNA from 1 species
CGGGGUGUAGCUCAGCUUGGUAGAGCACUGCUUUCGGGAAGCAGGGGCCGGAGGUUCAAAUCCUCUCUCCCCGA